GGUCUGUGAUGAGUUUUGGCAUGUAUUAUCUGAGCACAAAUUUGAAGAUUAUCAAUUUAGCUCUAGAAUUACUCUGAGACCUU
ensembl:snoRNA